rnacentral:rRNA from 1 species
GAUGAACGCUGGCGGCGUGCUUAACACAUGCAAGUCGAACGGUGAACGAGGGAGCUUGCUCCCUCCGGAUCAGUGGCGAACGGGUGAGUAACACGUGAGCAAUCUGCCCUGGACUCUGGGAUAAGCGUUGGAAACGACGUCUAAUACCGGAUACGAGGCGUGGGGGCAUCCCCAACGCCUGGAAAGAACUUCGGUCCAGGAUGAGCUCGCGGCCUAUCAGCUAGUUGGUGAGGUAACGGCUCACCAAGGCGACGACGGGUAGCCGGCCUGGGAGGGUGACCGGCCACACUGGGACUGAGACACGGCGCAGACUCCUACGGGAGGCAGCAGUGGGGAAUAUUGCACAAUGGGCGCGAGCCUGAUGCAGCAACGCCGCGUGAGGGACGACGGCCUUCGGGUUGUAAACCUCUUUUAGCAGGGAAGAAGCGAAAGUGACGGUACCUGCAGAAAAAGCACCGGCUAACUACGUGCCAGCCGCCGCAGUAAGAC